rnacentral:rRNA from 1 species
UGGUGGCGAGUGGCGAACGGGUGAGUAAUACAUCGGAACGUGUCCUGUAGUGGGGGAUAGCCCGGCGAAAGCCGGAUUAAUACCGCAUACGAUCUGUGGAUGAAAGCGGGGGAUCUUAGGACCUCGCGCUACAGGGGCGGCCGAUGGCAGAUUAGCUAGUUGGUGGGGUAAAGGCCUACCAAGGCGACGAUCUGUAGCUGGUCUGAGAGGACGACCAGCCACACUGGGACUGAGACACGGCCCAGACUCCUACGGGAGGCAGCAGUGGGGAAUUUUGGACAAUGGGCGCAAGCCUGAUCCAGCAAUGCCGCGUGUGUGAAGAAGGCCUUCGGGUUGUAAAGCACUUUUGUCCGGAAAGAAAACCUCUGGGUUAAUACCCUGGGGGGAUGACGGUACCGGAAGAAUAAGCACCGGCUAACUACGUGCCAGCAGCCGCGGUAAUACGUAGGGUGCAAGCGUUAAUCGGAAUUACUGGGCGUAGCGUGCGCAGGCGGUUCGCUAAGACAGAUGUGAAAUCCCCGGGCUUAACCUGGGAACUGCAUUUGUGACUGGCGGGCUAGAGUAUGGGAGAGGGGGGUAGAAUUCCACGUGUAGCAGUGAAAUGCGUAGAGAUGUGGAGGAAUACCGAUGGCGAAGGCAGCCCCCUGGGCCAAUACUGACGCUCAUGCACGAAAAGAUGGGGAGCAAACAGGAUUAGAUACCCUGGUAGUCCACGCCCUAAACGAUGUCAACUAGUUGUCGGGUCUUCAUUGACUUGGUAACGUAGCUAACGCGUGAAGUUGACCGCCUGGGGAGUACGGUCGCAAGAUUAAAACUCAAAGGAAUUGACGGGGACCCGCACAAGCGGUGGAUGAUGUGGAUUAAUUCGAUGCAACGCGAAAAACCUUACCUACCCUUGACAUGUAUGGAACCUGGCUGAGAGGUCGGGGUGCCCGAAAGGGAGCCAUAACACAGGUGCUGCAUGGCUGUCGUCAGCUCGUGUCGUGAGAUGUUGGGUUAAGUCCCGCAACGAGCGCAACCCUUGUCCCUAGUUGCUACGCAAGAGCACUCUAGGGAGACUGCCGGUGACAAACCGGAGGAAGGUGGGGAUGACGUCAAGUCCUCAUGGCCCUUAUGGGUAGGGCUUCACACGUCAUACAAUGGUCGGAACAGAGGGUCGCCAACCCGCGAGGGGGAGCCAAUCCCAGAAAACCGAUCGUAGUCCGGAUCGCACUCUGCAACUCGAGUGCGUGAAGCUGGAAUCGCUAGUAAUCGCGGAUCAGCA